UACGGAGGGUGCAAGCGUUAUCCGGAUUCACUGGGUUUAAAGGGUGCGUAGGCGGGCAGGUAAGUCAGUGGUGAAAUCUCCGGGCUUAACCCGGAAACUGCCGUUGAUACUAUCUGUCUUGAAUAUCGUGGAGGUAAGCGGAAUAUGUCAUGUAGCGGUGAAAUGCUUAGAUAUGACAUAGAACACCCAUUGCGAAGGCAGCUUAUUACACGAUCAUUGACGCUGAGGCACGAAAGCGUGGGGAGCAAACAGG
rnacentral:rRNA from 1 species